CCAAAAAAAUAGUCGUGCGUUGGGCGGCGUCUGUGGCUCAAAGGGGUAGGGUGCCAGCCCCAUAUGCCGGAGGCGGCAGGUUCAAACCCAGUCCCGGCCAAACACUGCAAAAAAAAAAAAAAAAAAAAAGUCGGGCUUUGUGGCGGGCGCCUGUACUUCUAGCUACUUGGAGGCUGAGGCAAGAGAAUAAACCCAGGAGUUGGAGGUUGCUGUGAGCUGUGAUGCCACGGCACUCUACCGAGGGCGAUAAAGUGAGACUCAGUCUCUACAAAAAGAAAAAAAAAUAAUAAUAAUAAAUAAAAUAACCUCCUCUGAAAAGUCUGGGAAACGAAAAGAAUUCAGUGAAAGACAUAUAUCCAAGUAGCUGAAGAGGGCAGCUUGGGGAAUUUGCCUGAUAGUAUCAGAAUGGAGCCACCACGACGAGGAAGGGUGACAACCACCCUACAGAUAAACUCAAUCCAGCUAUCUCCUAAAUGUCCACGCAUGUCACCCUCCGGGUGACAGUCAGCAAUCCACCUAAUAGCUUCCCUUUUGCCACCAGGAGGUGCCGUUGGACCACAGUUGAAUCUUGAAUGCUGUAAAGUACCGGGAAACUCGCGGUUGCCUAAAUCUCCUGCAGCCUGGUGCGGACGAGAAGCCCAUCCCACCGCAAAACGAGAAACCUCUCCGGACCUCUCCACCAAAUGUUCCUUUGGCAUGCUCACCCUGGACACACAAUUAUAACUUUUAUUUUGUCGAGAGAAAAACAGCCCACGUAGACACACGAACAAACAAAACGUGACUAAGUGUAACGUAGGCAGAAAUGCCUUAGACCCGCCCCGGUUCUUCCAGAUCAUCUUUCUGCUCCUUGGUUCUGUUUCCUCACCCACGUUUGCAAUGAAAAUAUUUAAACUUACGUCUAAAGAGCUACAAAAAAAAAAAGACUAAGUUUGCUUAAAACGUGGCGCGCCUAUAUUUUUGAAAUGCUGCCCCAACUCGACGCAGGGACUGGCCAGCCCGCUAAGAAAGCCCCUUUUCAGGAGGCCCAGGCAGAUAACCCUUUGUCAUCAGCUCCCCUACCCCCGCAGUUGGUCCAAUAGCACGACCCAUUGUGAUGGUUACCGACUCCCUCGGGCUUCCCACUUCACCGGGACAGUGGUUGCGUCCAGGGCCCUUCAGACUCAAGAGUGGCGACCCCUUCUCAGGCAGUGAUUGGCCAGCCCGGGCUGGGGGUGGGCUGACCUCCGCUCCGCCGUGGCGUCACCCGCUGGCCCCGCCCCCGCGCUGGGCAACCAUUUGUGUGCGGCCGCGGGAUUGGCCGCCCCGUUCCCGCGGGGGGAGGGGGAGGUGGCAGCGCGCACUCGCGCGUGCGUGAGCGGGCGCGCGAGGAAGGGCCCGGUCGCGCCGAGGCUCGAGCGGCCGUCGCCAUUUUGUAGGGUUCUCUCUGACGCGGGAGCCGCCGCCACCGCCGCCGCCACCCAGAGGCUCUUGUCAGGAUGGUGAAGCUGUUCAUCGGAAACCUGCCCCGGGAGGCCACAGAGCAGGAGAUCCGCUCACUCUUCGAGCAGUAUGGGAAAGUGCUGGAAUGUGACAUCAUUAAGAACUACGGCUUUGUGCACAUAGAGGACAAGACAGCCGCGGAGGAUGCCAUACGCAACCUGCACCACUACAAGCUUCAUGGGGUGAACAUCAACGUGGAAGCCAGCAAGAAUAAGAGCAAAGCUUCAACCAAGUUACAUGUGGGCAACAUCAGUCCCACCUGCACCAACCAAGAGCUUAGGGCCAAGUUUGAGGAGUAUGGUCCAGUCAUUGAAUGUGACAUUGUUAAAGAUUAUGCCUUCGUACACAUGGAGCGGGCAGAGGAUGCAGUGGAGGCCAUCAGGGGCCUUGACAACACAGAGUUUCAAGGCAAAAGAAUGCACGUGCAGUUGUCCACAAGUCGGCUUCGGACUGCCCCUGGGAUGGGAGAUCAGAGUGGCUGCUAUCGGUGUGGGAAAGAGGGGCACUGGUCCAAAGAGUGCCCUGUAGAUCGUACAGGCCGCGUGGCAGACUUUACUGAGCAGUACAAUGAACAGUAUGGAGCAGUCCGCACAUCUUACACCAUGGGCUACGGGGAGUCCGUGUACUACAACGAUGCUUAUGGCGCCCUCGACUACUAUAAGCGUUACCGGGUUCGCUCUUAUGAGGCGGUGGCAGCGGCUGCGGCAGCUUCUGCAUACAAUUAUGCAGAACAGACCAUGUCCCAUCUGCCUCAAGUCCAAAGCACAGCAGUGACCAGCCACCUCAACUCCACUUCUGUUGAUCCCUACGACAGACACCUAUUGCCGAAUUCUGGCUCUGCUGCCACCUCAGCUGCUAUGGCUGCUGCUGCUGCCACCUCUUCAUCCUAUUAUGGAAGGGACAGGAGUCCACUGCGGCGUGCUGCAGCUGUGCUCCCCACAGUUGGAGAGGGCUACGGUUAUGGGCCAGAGAGUGAGUUAUCUCAGGCUUCAGCAGCUGCACGGAGUUCUCUGUAUGACAUGGCCCGGUAUGAGCGGGAGCAGUAUGUGGACCGAGCACGGUACUCAGCCUUUUAGAAACUGGAGGUGUGAACCUCAAAUGGACUGAAUAACCCUGAGUUGGUUGUAGUCCCAGGAGCCUGAUGUUAAUGAGGCUGCCAGAAUGAAAUACUCCAGAACUGUUGGGGAUCCAAAUUCGGGUCUCACCUUAGCAGAACUGAUCCAACAACGUCACAGCUUUUGAAGUCGAUUGGCACAGAUCAAGACCAGGAUUUGGCCCUUUGUCUGUAAUAUGUAGAGGAACUUGGACAAGACCAGGGCCCUUGUACUCGGAGCCAGGCCACUCUCCCGGCAUUGUGUAAGCCUCUUGUGUUGUGCUCUCUUUCAGGUAGGAUAAUUGCGGACUGAACCCUCGGGCUGCGGUCAUAUAUGAGAACUUGCUCCGUGCGGUUCCCUUUGCCGGGAUGUUUUCAUUGCUUCAUGUUUCAGUAAACAAAGGAGUUUGUCACCAACUAUGUUUUCUUUCUUAAUUUAAUUCUUCUCGGUUGACUUUUCUUUCUUCUUGAUACUAGUCUGUAGCGUUUCAUUCUGUUCCUUAUAUUCUCAGCCUCUGAGCAGCACUAGGUAAGGACUGUGCUGGCAUCCCCUUUUUCCUGUGCAAUGGAAGCUCUCUUAUCUUGCUUUCCUUAGGAUUUGAACCCUUCUCCCUGCAGCUGCAUCUCCUUCCCCUUUAAAAUGACCAUGUAGUGGCAAGCAGCCUUUUACUCUUCUCUGUUAGCUCUGGACUCUUAACACUGAAGCUAAUCUUCUGAAAUUGCUAGGACCAUUGGGGGGUUUGUUGUUUUAUGUCUGACCUGUGAUCGUGGUACAGCAUUAGCUGAAAUUUAGCUUUGUUUUACUCUACUCCUUCCACUUUUUUUUUUAUUUUUUGACAAAUAAAAGUUUCUAACUCUU